GACGAACGCUGGCGGCGUGCCUAAUACAUGCAAGUUGAGCGCUGAAGGUUGGUACUUGUACCGACUGGAUGAGCAGCGAACGGGUGAGUAACGCGUGGGGAAUCUGCCUUUGAGCGGGGGACAACAUUUGGAAACGAAUGCUAAUACCGCAUAAAAACUUUAAACACAAGUUUUAAGUUUGAAAGAUGCAAUUGCAUCACUCAAAGAUGAUCCCGCGUUGUAUUAGCUAGUUGGUGAGGUAAAGGCUCACCAAGGCGAUGAUACAUAGCCGACCUGAGAGGGUGUUCGGCCACAUUGGGACUGAGACACGGCCCAAACUCCUACGGGAGGCAGCAGUAGGGAAUCUUCGGCAAUGGACGAAAGUCUGACCGAGCAACGCCGCGUGAGUGAAGAAGGUUUUCGGAUCGUAAAACUCUGUUGGUAGAGAAGAACGUUGGUGAGAGUGGAAAGCUCAUCAAGUGACGGUAACUACCCAGAAAGGGACGGCUAACUACGUG
rnacentral:rRNA from 1 species